GAGCCUUCGUCCUCAAAAAAUGGUUGUGAGGGGAGCCCGUGGGCAUACUGAGAUGGAGCCCCCAGAUUCAACUUCGAAUAGAGGGGAUGCUGCCGCUCGGACCUUCGAAUUGACGGUCAAUUUCUUUCCAUCAAAGGCAAAAUUAGUUGAUGGUAGCAUUCAGAACAUUGAGAGAGACACAAUUGUUAAAUGGGAGGUUGAGUUUACAGAGAUUGAUCCACAAGUUCUACAGAACAUGGGAGAGAAGGCAGUGAAGAAAUGGGUGGAAAAAAUUGGGGAGAAUGUUGU